AUUGAACGCUGGCGGCAGGCCUAACACAUGCAAGUCGAACGGUAACAGGAAGAGGCUUGCUUCUUUGCUGUCGAGUGGCGGACGGGUGAGUAAUGUCUGGGAAACUGCCUGAUGGAGGGGGUUAACUACUGGAAACGGUAGCUAAUACCGCAUAAUGUCUCAAGACCAAAGAGCGGGACCUUCGGGCCUCUUGCCAUCGGCUGUGCCCAGAUGGGAUUAGCUAGUAGGUGGGGUAACGGCUCACCGAGGCGACGAUCCCUAGCUGGUCUGAGAGGAUGACCAGCCACACUGGAACUGAGACACGGUCCAGACUCCUACGGGAGGCAGCAGUGGGGAAUAUUGCACAAUGGGCGAAAGCCUGAUGCAGCUAUGCCGCGUGUAUGAAGAAGGCCUUCGGAUUGUAAAGUACUUUCAGCGGGGAGGAAGGGAGUAAAGUUAAUACCUUUGCGCAUUGACGUUACCCGCAGAAGAAGCACCGGCUAACUCCGUG
rnacentral:rRNA from 1 species